UACGUAGGGCGCAAGCGUUGUCCGGAAUUAUUGGGCGUAAAGAGCUCGUAGGCGGUCUGUUGCGUCCGCUGUGAAAACUCGGGGCUUAACCCCGAGCCUGCAGUGGAUACGGGCAGACUAGAGGUAGGUAGGGGAGAAUGGAAUUCCCGGUGUAGCGGUGAAAUGCGCAGAUAUCGGGAGGAACACCGGUGGCGAAGGCGGUUCUCUGGGCCUGACCUGACGCUGAGGAGCGAAAGCGUGGGGAGCGAACAGG
rnacentral:rRNA from 1 species